UGUCACAACUUCAAGAAUUAUAAUUUUAACAAUCUUAUAAAUAAAAUAUGUAAAUAAUAAAAAAAAGAUUAUUUAUUUAUUUACCCUGUGUUUUGUUGUGAUAAAAAAUGAGGCGUCCCUUUGUGAAGGUAGCUCGCAACAAACGAUCGACAGCACGGUUCGUGUACGUGCAGCUGCGGGAAGGGCUGUAUUGCUGGAAGGUUGCUGGUAGCUGGUUGCUGGUAGCUGCAGCUGCGGGAAGGGCAGUAUUGCUGGAAGGUUGCUGGUAGCUGCAGCUGCGGGAAGGGCUGUAUUGCUGGAAGGUUGCUGGUAGCUGGUUGCUGGUAGCUGCAGCUGCUGGUUUUUCAUCGUUCCGGUACGCCACGAAGACCUCAAAGUUUUUUGUGAUAUAAAAAUAAAUAAAAAGAAAGAAUGAAAA